UGGGCAGUAGCUCAGUGGUAGAGCUUCCGCUCCAUAUGCGGGAAGACCUGGGUUCGAUUCCCGGCUGCUUAC
rfam:Toxocara canis scaffold227, whole genome shotgun sequence.